GCCAUUUUCGAGUGAUGCCUGAUCUCAUCAAUCUAGCGGGAGAGACAGGAUAACCUGUCCGAGAGUAUAGCGCCACUAUGACUCCGCCGGAAAAAUUACUUUAAAAAUCGCCAAAAAUUACUUGGAGCAAAGGGCAGUCGGCGGAGCUUCGCCAAGGCUGGCGCAGUCGGUUUUGACCUGUAGCAGAGAACCAAUUCUGGAGAACAGCCUCACUUCUUUGAUUGAAUACUUACAUAAUGCAUUGGAACAUGACAUGAGAUUAAGGUUUAAUAAUGAUAGAAUGAAGACCACAAUAAAAGAGACCUCUACUUAGCUCAGCAAUUCUUACCUUUCUUACCUAUUUGAUGAAGAUGUCUUUUGAAAGGUGUACUGCAAGGAACAAAAUGUUUGUAAAUUCUCCUUUUACCAAGGUGGAUAAUUACUGUACCUUCCUCAUGGAAAAAGUUUUAUUUAAAGUGUUAUUUCUCAUUGAAUACUAUCAAAAAGGAAAAAAAAAUGACCUAAACUUUUGAGAUAGAUUUGGCUCUAGUAAGUAUUUAGUUAUAUCACUUGCAUAUCUGGGAGAAGAAAUAAGAGACUAUCAUCAGUACAUUCCCAUCUACUAAAAAAAUUUAUUUUACACAUGUCAAGGGAUUACUUAUAACUUCCAUUUUAUUACUAAUAGCUUGAACCCUUUUAAUGAAGACCUAACUCCUCCACCAGAAAUUUAAGUUUAUGUUCUUACUUUGUUUACUUAUAAAAUACAUCUCAGGUAUUUCGGAUGUCUUUUUUUUUUCUAAGCCUAUAUGAAAUGAAAAAUAUAUUGGCAAAAUAAAUGUUUAAACCUUUUACGUUAAAAUUACUUUGAAAGAUGAAAAGUUAGUGCUGUUUUUGUCUACGUUAUACUGAAAUUAAAUGUUUAUAAUUUAUAUUUUGGGUUUAUGUAUAAAUCAUGGAAUUUAUGCAAAAAUAUGAGUAGUACAGAUUCUCCUCUAAUUCUGUAGGACUUUGAAUAAUGUGAUAUUUUUCUUAUAAUUGGACCCUUGUGUUUUGAAGAAAUGCCAACUGCUUGAAGAAUCUCCUUGUUAUUUGUAUUAUUUGCUAUAGGGUUAGAUGUUGAGAAAUUCUGCUGACAAAAAAUUUUAAGCCAGUUUUACACUAAAUGUUCCUCAGUCUGAUUAAUUUGUUAUUGGAUGUAUUCUGUAUCUUUCUUUUGUAAUUUGUAACUUUUAUCCACUUAGCACGAAUGAUUCUAUUAAAGAAAAUCAUUAGGAAGUGGUAGAAA
rnacentral:lncRNA from 10 species